GUCGGAGUUGCGCGGGUUGUAGUCGACGAAGGCGUGGCCCCGCGACUGGUCGAUGGUGUGGAACAGCGGGUUCCAGCUGAACAUCGCCAGCAUGUGCGGGGGCAGCGAGUUGGCCACGAACAUCUUGCCCGAGGCGAUCAUGUUGGCCCGCUG
rnacentral:ncRNA from 1 species